GCGUCCGGAGCGGCGGCAAUGAGCGGCCAAGGGCGAAUCUGCAGCACUACGCAGGCGAUGGCCAUGAGCCGCGAAUGUCUAAUCUGCAGCGCGGCGCAGGCGGCAGUGGUGAGAAGGGACAGCUCGCCUCACACGUCUGAGCUGUCGACGGGGAAGAUAACUCCCGAGGCUCUGCUUCGAAUAAGAGGUUGCGGAUUGGUGCCGCUGGCCCAACCAGGGCACCUUGGCCAACCUGUGUAGGCGCGUUUGAGAAGGCGGUGAUGGUGUUCGUGGAAAAGCCGACCGAAAAUGUUAUCACUCCGGUGCUGGGUACUACCUUCGACUCACUGGGAGAAGCAUACGAUUUCUACAACUUAUGUUCCUCGAAGAAGGGGUUUGGGAUUAGAUAUAGAAAAGCCAUGUGGAGAGAACGAAGUGCGUGCAGGAAAUUGUGCGGAUGCUUGCUGGUGUUAAGAACACAAGGUCCUGUCGGUGUGAAUGCCCAGCGCUGAUAAGGGUGUUAUGGACGAAGUACAAUGGGUGGUAUAUCGCAGAGCAUCGGGAGACUCAUAACUGAACCAUUCUCUUUCACAUAAUUUCAGCGAGACGAUCCACUGGCUGUCUCACAAGCACACUGAUGCGUACAGUACGAACCUAAUAAAACAGUGUUGCAGAAUAAUGUCAAACUUGCAA